rnacentral:lncRNA from 1 species
UUCUAAUUCAUAGAUGCUGAAUUGGGGAGAGAAACUAUGAGGUUUUCUAUACCCUGCAAGUGUGUUAAUUUGCUCUAUUUUAAAAAAUCUAAAGGCCAGGACAUUGGCUCAUGCCUAUAAUCCCAGCACUUUGGGAAGCUGAGGCGGGUGCCUCCCUUGAGCCCAGGGGUUCGAGAUCAGCGUAGGCAACAUGGCAAAACCCCAUCUCUACAAAAAAUGCAAAAAUUAGCCAGGUGUGGUGGUGUGACUGUAGUCCCAGCUACUCAGGAGGCUGAUCAAAGGAGGAUUGCUUGAGUCUGGGAGGUAAAGGUUGAAGUGAGCUGAGAUUGCACCACUGUACUCUAGCCUGGAUGACAGAGUGAGAUCCUGUCUCAAAAAACAAAAAAAAAAAGAAAGGAAAAACCUCAGUCAUGUCACGUGAGAAUAAAAGAAAAAGUUGGCAGUGUGCAACCAGAAGAGGGCCCUCACCAGAACCCAACCAUGCUGGGUCCCUGAUCUCAGACUUCCAGCCUCCAGAACGGUG